GACGAACGCUGGCGGCGUGCUUAACACAUGCAAGUCGAACGGAAAGGCCCUGCUUUUGUGGGGUGCUCAAGUGGCGAACGGGUGAGUAACACGUGAGUAACCUGCCCUUGACUUUGGGAUAACUUCAGGAAACUGGGGCUAAUACCGGAUAGGAGCUCCUGCUGCAUGGUGGGGGUUUGAAAGUUUCGGCGGUUGGGGAUGGACUCGCGGCUUAUCAGCUUGUUGGUGGGGUAGUGGCUUACCAAGGCUUUGACGGGUAGCCGGCCUGAGAGGGUGACCGGCCACAUUGGUACUGAGAUACGGCCCAGACUGCUACGGGAGGCAGCAGUGGGGAGUAUUGCACAAUGAGCGGAAGCCUGAUGCAGCAACGCCGCGUGCGUGAUGACGGCCUUCGGGUUGUAAACCGCUUUCGCCUGUGACGAAGCGUGAGUGACGGUAAUGGGUAAAGAAGCACCGGCUAACUACGUG
rnacentral:rRNA from 1 species